AUGGCGACCCCCGAGCAGCCGCUGCCGAUGUCCAGAGGAUGCCAGGGCUCGGCUUCGCUCUCUCCGCCGCGGGGCGACCGAACCCUUCUAGUGAGGCACCUGCCAGCGGAGCUGACCACGGAGGAGAAAGAGGACUUGCUCAAGUAUUUCGGGGCGCAGUCCGUGCGCGUCCUGUCCGACAAGGGGCGACUGAAACAUACGGCUUUUGCUACUUUUCCUAGUGAAAAAACAGCCAUCAAGGCACUGACGAGACUCCACCAGCUGAAACUUUUAGGUCAUACUUUAGUUGUUGAAUUUGCAAAAGAGCAAGAUCAAGUUCAUUCCCCAUGUCCCUCUGCAGGCACUGAAAAAAAGAAAAGGUCUGAUGACCCUGAGGAGGAAGAAAAAGAAAAGAAGGAAGUUGGUUGUUUAACUGUAGAAAAUGGAAUUGCACCGAGCCACGGGCUGACGUUUCCCCUGAAUUCAUGCCUCAAGUAUAUGUACCCACCGCCAUCGAGCACCAUCCUGGCGAACAUAGUCAACGCCUUGGCAAGCGUGCCCAAGUUCUAUGUACAGGUGCUUCAUCUUAUGAAUAAAAUGAAUCUGCCCACACCUUUCGGACCCAUCACUGCGAGACCUCCCAUGUAUGAAGACUACGUGCCAUUGCACGCCCCUCUGCCCCCCGCCUCUCCCUGGCCUCCGGAGGAGCCCCCUUUGCCCGAUGAGGACGAGGAGCUGUCUAGCCUGGAGUCGGAGUACGAGAGCAGCGAUGAGGAAGACCGGCAGAGAAUGGCCAAACUGAUGGAAUUAGCAAAUCUUCAGCCCAAAAGACCAAAACCCACAAAGCAGCGCCAGGUGAGAAAAAGGCGGAAAAUAAAGGACAUGUUGAGUGUACCAGCGUCUGUCUCACACAGCAGCGUGCACCCCGUGCUGUCCCCGUCGGAUGUGUUCGAUCAGCCCCAGCCGGUGGGGAGCAAAAAAAUUGAAUUCCAUAUAAAUACUGACGUGCCACCUGCAUUAAGGAAAGAUUUAGAAAAGGAGCAACACUGUGAAGAACAGAAUCGUGAUUCACCUGCUGAGGAGGUGGACUCAUCCAGUGUAGGAUUUGGAAAAAUCUUCCCCAAGCCUAACGUGAACGUCGCCGAGGAAAGUAAGGAAGACUCCGAUGAGAUGCCGUCGGAGUGUAUUUCCAGGAGGGAGCUGGAGAAGGGCAGGAUUUCCAGAGAAGAAAUGGAAACACUUUCGGUUUUCAGAAGUUAUGAACCCGGUGAACCAAACUGUAGAAUUUAUGUAAAGAAUUUGGCUAAACAUGUUCAAGAAAAGGACCUUAAGUUUAUUUUUGGAAGAUAUGUUGACUUUUCAUCAGAAACACAACGAAUAAUGUUUGACGUCCGCCUGAUGAGAGAGGGCCGCAUGAAGGGGCAGGCCUUCGUCGGGCUUCCGAACGAGAAGGCGGCAGCGAAAGCCUUAAAGGAAGCGAAUGGAUACGUUCUCUUUGGAAAGCCGAUGGUGGUCCAGUUUGCUCGAUCUGCGAGACCAAAACAGGAUCCUAAAGAAGGAAAAAGGCGGCGUUAACAACUGGUACAGACGCACCCUGCGCACACGCUGCCGUAACUGACACACACAGUGUAUCCUUUCUCGUAUCCUUUUGGGGGCCGCACUUUUUGGUUUUUGUUUUUCUUAAAUGUUUUGUCCCUUCCACCCACCCACGGAUCCAGAUGAAGCCACAAUUUUUUUACAAUUUCAAGGAAGUACUGCUGAAUAUCACUGCUGAUUAAACCAAUCUUGUGUGGGUUUUUUUUAGAUUUGUUGCUACAUUUUCUAUUCUGUUCUUUAGCUUACAUAUUUUUUUGCAGGGAAAGUUAAUGAAUCAGGUCAGUUUGUUUGCUUUGUAGAAUGUGUGCCUUUACUCUGAUACAGAAUUUAGUCAUUUUCUUCGUUUAUGUAUUUUCUGGACCUGAUUCAGUAUCCCCUAUAUUCUGUUUCAUGACAUGUCUGGUUUAGAAAUUCUGUAUAAUGUGUUGUAAAAUUUGGCUGGGGAAAGGUUUUUUUUUUCCUUUAAAAAUUACAAAUACUUGCAAUAAAACAACUGGAUUCCUGUAUAAAUUCCAAAUAAGAGUGGCAGACCUCACAGAGGAGGAGUGGUUAUAGAACUCACCAUUGAGAUAAAUAGCACUAGAAGUUUUUUUUCCUCUUUUUUGUUUCUAAACCAAAUCAAACCAAACCAAAGGAAGAAGAAAGAGUAGCAGAGGUGGAAGACAGAACAUUGGCCCAGGGUAGCACGUUGAGUGAGAGGAGGCGGCCCCCGGUUCCUUUUGAAUUCCGUAUCUUUCCUGUGUUUCCACCUUGGAGAAGAACUUGACCUCCUGGGCUGUGGAACUGUGCGUAACGGCUUUUAAAGUGUAUUCAAAAAUUAAGCUUAUAUUCACUUAAAUUAGUUUAUCGGAGAUGUAUUAUGUGCAUUUUAAUUAACUUCAUAUAUAAUAAAUUAUUUUCUUUCCAAUAAAAUGAUGUUCUUAAUUUUUAAUGUGUUUUAUACUGCUAGGAGAGUAUAAUUUGAUAAUUACAUAAAUUUAUUAUAGUAAUUUUUACAUUAAAUUUAAAUUUUACUGUAAUUUUACAAAUAACAGCCUUUUAAAUUUUUUACCUGUAUACCAGUGUACUUACUUGAGAAAUUUUUUUAAAGUUAUCUUAUUUCUGUUCAUUCCUGUAGAAGUUCUGAUUUUGUUUUGUUUUGUUCUGGGUUUUAUUUGUUUGUUUGUUUUUAGUGGUGGGGGAUUUUUUUCAGUUAAGGAAAUUUGUACUGUUGCCCUCAUUUCAUCUUUUAUUUUUGGGCCCUCACAAUCUAUCAGAAUACCACUCAGAAGGUGCCGAUGUUCCCGUAUAAAGGUAUCUCUUCCUUUAGUGAAAUUAGUUCCGUGUGUGUGAGUAGAGGGACUUUUCAUACAGGCAGAGCUCACAGAUACCAGGAGUUGGGUCCAGACGACCACAGUAAAGCGGGUCAUACACGUUUGUUGACUUCUUGGUGCAUAUCAAAGUUACGUCUGCACCAUAUGGUGGUCCAUUGGCUUGUGAUAGCAUUAUAGCUAACAAGAGCAAUGUGCAUACCUUAAUUUAAAAAUACUCUUUUGCUAAAAGAUGCUACUGUCAUUUGAGCCGCCAGCAGGCCUGUUCUCUUGUUGCCUCUGUCUCGGUGGCUGCGGACCCUUCGGGGGCUGGUUGUGAA